rnacentral:snRNA from 1 species
AUACCUUAAACUUAUGAGUAAGGAAAAUAACAACCUGGGGUGAUGCCCAGGUCCUCUCUAGGAAUGUGAGAGGAAUUUUUGCAGGGGUACAGGUCAUCCCUGGGUGGCCUGUUUACUCUGUAGAAUGCCUGGACUUUUUUUUUUUUUU